AAAAGACUUAGUCCUAACCUUGCCGUUGAUUCCCCGCUCAAUAUAUACAUGCAAGUAUCCGCACCCCAGUGCAAACGCCCCCAACUUCUUCCCAAGAUUAAAGGAGCAGGUAUCAGGCACGCCCACAACGCAGCCCAAGACACCCCGCCCAGCCACACCCCCACGGGUACUCAGCAGUAAUUAACAUUAAGCAAUAAGCGAAAGCUUGACUCAGUUAGAGCAACCAGGGUUGGUAAAUCUUGUGCCAGCCACCGCGGCCAUACAAGGGACCCAAAUCAACUGCAUACGGCGUAAAGAGUGGCCUCCGACUAUCACAACCAACUAAGAUGAAACCACACCCCAAGCUGUCAUAAGCCCAAGACGUCCUGAACCCCCUUUCCAAAUCAAGCCAAUCUUAGCAUCCACGACCUAUCUACCCCACGAAAGCCAGGACACAAACUGGGAUUAGAUACCCCACUAUGCCUGGCCCUAAAUCUUGAUGUUCCCUACACAAAAACAUCCGCCCGAGAACUACGAGCACAAACGCUUAAAACUCUAAGGACUUGACGGUGCCCCAAACCCACCUAGAGGAGCCUGUUCUAUAAUCGAUAAUCCACGAUACACCCGACCACUCCUUGCCAAAACAGCCUACAUACCGCCGUCGCCAGCCCACCUCCAUGAGAGCACAGCAGUGAGCCCAAUAGCCCAUACCCACUAACAAGACAGGUCAAGGUAUAGCCCAUGGAGUGGAAGAAAUGGGCUACAUUUUCUAAAAUAGACAAGCCUAACGAAAAGAGACUUGAAACCUGCCUCUAGAAGGCGGAUUUAGCAGUAAAGAGGGAUAACAAAACCCUCUUUAAACCGGCCCUAGGGCACGUACACACCGCCCGUCACCCUCCUCACAAGCCACGCCAACACUAACUAAAGCACCAAACAGCUGAAGAUGAGGCAAGUCGUAACAAGGUAAGUGUACCGGAAGGUGCACUUAGCAUAC
rnacentral:ncRNA from 1 species